rnacentral:rRNA from 1 species
AACGAACGCUGGCGGCAUGCCUAACACAUGCAAGUCGAACGAGACCUUCGGGUCUGGUGGCUCACGGGUGCGUCACGCGGGGGAACGUGCCCUUAGGUUCGGAAUAACUCCCCUUAGGGGGUGCUAAUGCCGGGUAAUGUCUGCUGACCCAACAUUUGUCGCCCUUGGGUGGGCCCGCGUUGGAUUAGCUAGUUGGUAGUGUAAAAGCCUACCAAGGAGACGAUCCAUAGCUGGGCUGAGAGGAUGAUCAGCCACACUGGGACUGAGGCACGGCCCAGAAUCCUACGGGAGGCAGCAGUAGCGAAUAUUGGACAAUGGGCGAGAGUGUGAUACAGCAACGCCGUGUGAGUGAUGAAGGUCUGAGGGUUGUAACGCUCUUUUACCCGCGAUGUUAAUGACAGUAACGGGAAAAUAAGCCCCGGCUAACUCCGUG